rnacentral:rRNA from 1 species
UACGUAGGUGGCAAGCGUUGUCCGGAUUUACUGGGCGUAAAGAGCGCGCAGGCGGUCGUUCAAGUCGAGUGUGAAAGCCCCCGGCUCAACUGGGGAGGGUCACUUGAUACUGAUCGACUCGAAGGCAGGAGAGGGAAGCGGAAUUCCCGGUGCAGUGGUGAAAUGCGUAGAUAUCGGGAGGAACACCAGUGGCGAAGGCGGCUUCCUGGCCUGUUCUUGACGCUGAGGCGCGAAAGCUAGGGGAGCAAACAGG